UACGGAGGAUGCAAGCGUUAUCCGGAAUGAUUGGGCGUAAAGGGUCCGCAGGUGGCAGUGUAAGUCUGCUGUCAAAGAAUGAGGCUUAACCUCAUCAAGGCAGUGGAAACUACACAGCUAGAGUACGGUCGGGGUAGAAGUAAUUCCUGGUGUAGCGGUGAAAUGCGUAGAGAUCAGGAAGAACACCGGUGGCGAAAGCGUUCUGCUAGACCUGUACUGACACUGAGGGACGAAAGCUAGGGGAGCGAAUGGG
rnacentral:rRNA from 1 species